GACGAACGCUGGCGGCGUGCUUAACACAUGCAAGUCGAGCGGUAAGGCUCCUUCGGGAGUACACGAGCGGCGAACGGGUGAGUAACACGUGAGCAACCUGCCCUUCUCAUCGGAAUAAGCGUUGGAAACGACGUCUAAUGCCGAAUAUGACCUCCUUUCGCAUGAUCGGAGGUGGAAAGCUCCGGCGGAGAAGGAUGGGCUCGCGGCCUAUCAGCUUGUUGGUGGGGUAACGGCCCACCAAGGCGACGACGGGUAGCCGGCCUGAGAGGGUGACCGGCCACUCUGGGACUGAGACACGGCCCAGACUCCUACGGGAGGCAGCAGUGGGGAAUAUUGGACAAUGGGCGAAAGCCUGAUCCAGCAACGCCGCGUGAGGGAUGACGGCCUUCGGGUUGUAAACCUCUUUCAGCAGGGACGAAGCGAAAGUGACGGUACCUGCAGAAGAAGGACCGGCCAACUACGUGCCAGCCGCCGCGGUAA
rnacentral:rRNA from 1 species